AUAUUGGACAAUGGGCGCAAGCCUGAUCCAGCCAUGCCGCGUGAGUGAAGAAGGCCUUCGGGUUGUAAAGCUCUUUUGUCCGGAAAGAAAAGCAUUCGGUUAAUAACCGGGUGUCAUGACGGUACCGGCAGAAUAAGCACCGGCUAACUUCGUGCCAGCAGCCGCGGUAAUACGAAGGGUGCAAGCGUUACUCGGAAUUACUGGGCGUAAAGCGUGCGUAGGUGGUUUGUUAAGUCUGAUGUGAAAGCCCUGGGCUCAACCUGGGAACUGCAUUGGAAACUGGCUUACUAGAGUGCGGUAGAGGGGUGUGGAAUUCCCGGUGUAGCAGUGAAAUGCGUAGAUAUCGGGAGGAACAUCUGUGGCGAAGGCGACACCCUGGACCAGCACUGACACUGAGGCACGAAAGCGUGGGGAGCAAACAGG
rnacentral:rRNA from 1 species